GAUGAACGCUAGCGGGAGGCUUAACACAUGCAAGUCGAGGGGCAUCACGAGGUAGCAAUACUUGGUGGCGACCGGCGCACGGGUGAGUAACACGUAUGCAACCUUCCCUGUACAGGGGGAUAACCCGGAGAAAUUCGGACUAAUACCCCAUGAUGAUAUUUAUGGGCAUCCAUUGAUAUUUAAAGCUCUGGCGGUACAGGAUGGGCAUGCGCGACAUUAGCUAGUUGGUAAGGUAACGGCUUACCAAGGCUACGAUGUUUAGGGGACCUGAGAGGGUUGUCCCCCACACUGGUACUGAGACACGGACCAGACUCCUACGGGAGGCAGCAGUGAGGAAUAUUGGUCAAUGGGCGCAAGCCUGAACCAGCCAUCCCGCGUGAAGGAAGAAUGCGCUACGCGUUGUAAACUUCUUUUCCAGGGGGAGAAUAAUCCUGUCGUGACAGGACUUGACGGUACUCUGGGAAUAAGCAUCGGCUAACUCCGUG
rnacentral:rRNA from 1 species